rnacentral:rRNA from 1 species
AACGAACGCUGGCGGCAGGUUUAACACAUGCAAGUCGAGCGCCCCGCAAGGGGAGCGGCAGACGGGGGAGUAACGCGUGGGAACAUACCCUUUCCUGUGGAAUAGCUCCGGGAAACUGGAAUUAAUACCGCAUAAGCCCUACGGGGGAAGGAUCUAUCCGGGAAGGGUUGGCCCGGGUUGGAUUAGCUAGUUGGUGGGGUAAAGGCCUACCAAGGCGACGAUACAUAGCUGGUCUGAGAGGAGGAUCAGCCACAUUGGGACUGGGACACGGCCCAAACUCCUACGGGGGGCAGCAGUGGGGAAUAUUGGACAAUGGGCGCAAGCCUGAUCCAGCCAUGCCGCGUGAGCGAUGAAGGCCUUAGGGUUGUAAAGCUCUUUCACCGGAGAAGAUAAUGACGGUAUCCGGAGAAGAAGCCCCGGCUAACUUCGUGCCAGCCGCCGCCGUAA